ensembl:lncRNA
CUGGUUAUCUGAGAGAGAAUAAGGGAAAUUUAAAAUUUCAAAGGCCAAAAGGGACAACAGUGUCAGGUUUCUGACUUCCUUUGGCACUUCUUGCAGAGCGUAGAUUAAAGGUUGCCUACUCAAAAGUCACCUGAUCUUAUUUCAUUGCCUGGAAAUGCUAGCAUGCACACAGCUUUACGCAGAAAACCGUUUCCACAUUUAAUUAUCUGUUAUAGUAAGAAAUUGCUUUUAAUCUAACAUAAAUGCAGUUCUACCUUUCAUUGAGAUGGGCUCCUCUGUGUUAGUAGUUAUUGGAUGUUUUUCACAGUUGUAUUGCUGCCUGUUGUUACAGCAAGGUAUGCUUUUUCCAUCUCCUUCCACUGCACAAGUUUUAGUAUUCACUUCACUAUUUGACAAAAAGAAGUAGUGCCAAUUUGGAAAAGUUUAUGAAAACUAUUCAUUUUUAAAUAAUCCACUAAGUGGAGCGCUAAGAAGCACAGUGUGGCAUACCUUCACUGUGGCUAUCUAGUACAAAAUUGAUGCGUAGUGUACCAAGUUUCCAGCUGUGCUACUGACGUGCCUUAUUACUUUAUCCCCUAUUUUGCUGAUGGAAACAAAAUGCUAGAUGUUAAAUAGAAUUUAGAGAGUUUUUUGAAGGCUAGAACAUUUAUUAAGGCUGUCCCAAAUAUAUAGUUAAACUUCUGCAUUGGGAAAUGGUUGCGCUGUUGCAUACUUAGGGUCUGUGCUCCAGGCAGAGGCUUGCACAGCAUCUCUGGGGGGUGGGGUGGCCGGCACAUGCUGCCUGGUGCCCUGGGAGCAAUCCUGGAGGAGCAGCUGCAGCUGUAAGUGAUGUUUGGUACAGGUCAGGGUUGAGUCAGGAGGAUUACACUUUGGACUUAAGGGAAAGAAGGGCCUGACUUCUUCCUCCAUGAUCCACUCGUAAAUCCAGAACUAAAUGUGUAAGAAACUAAAAACCAGUUCAGUUGCUCAGCCUAGGACCUGAACUCAGUGGCACUGGACUGAAUGAAGGAAGAUAAGGAGAGGUGGCAGGAGGCUGCAGGCUCUGUCUUACAUGCAGGGAGCAGCUCUUGGAGUGGGGUUGUGCUAGAGGGCUGUAUUCCUUACAGUAAGCCUUAGCUUAGAUUCAAGGUUGUGGAAUAUUUAGGAUAAUGGGAUAUAUUCACCAAAAGAAAAAAAGUACGGUAUACUCAAUGGACUGACAUUAUUGUCAAUUCAUGUAGAAAUAAAAAUUCAUAAAAGAUGAAUCUCUAGUUGAACCAUAUGUCUUCGCAUUGAACUAAAUGAUCAUUUAGUAAUGAUGAAAAGGCAAUUUUAAAGGAGGCGUUUGAGGGUACGGUCAGAGAUCAUAAGCAAUUAAGUCUGAGUUAGGUCCUGGCUUUGUGGAAAUUGAUGGCACAACUGGAAAAGCUUUCUUGUUACUUUCACAAAGUACAGUGCUGUAUUGAUUAUGGUGUGCUUCAUUGUCACGUUCUGGAUCUGUGUGUCAUUUGAGAUAUCUGCACCUGCUUUUAGAUUUGACACAUCUUCAGAUAUGUUUGCAGCAUGUUUUGUAAUACCAGCUGUAGGCUACAGAUUCCAUAUCAGCUAAUUUUUUCUUAUCUGUCCCUGACUCAUCUACUGUGAUGUACCAUUGGCAACCUGAAGGAGCAGGGUCCGAAUGUUGAAGCCAUGUCUGUUUGUUUCCAUUAUUCUUUUCUGUAAAAAAAAGGAUUUAAGGGAAAGAAAAAAAAAAAAAAAAGGAAUAUUUUAGUGGAAUAUUAAAGAUGUUUGUAAUGGGAUUCUUUUUGAGAAGCUUUUUUAGAAAAAACAUGUAGGCAGUCCUUGAGCAUUAGAAGAGCCAGCAUUUUGUCUAACCUUGACCCACCUCGAACACAAGACUGCAGUAGUUUCAGAUAGAGGUGUUGAACUCUAAAGCCCUAUGCUUUUUACCUUUGUCACUUCAUCACUCUUUAUUAAAGAAUGUUGUGAUUAGCUGUCUACCUGAUCAGUCCUGGGCCAGUCCUUUUCAGGAAUCAGACUGUUUCUUCAUCUGCGUUUCAGCAGUUCAUGAAUACAGCUCCAAAAAUGGCUUUAGAGAUUUUGAAAGCAAACCUCCUUCUCCUGCAUGUCUGUUAAUUUACUCUGUUAAUGUAAUUACUAGUGUUAGAAGAAAUGGACUUACCAAGGUAGAAGCAAAUGGACUUGAGCUGAUUGUGUGCAGUUCGAGGAAUUGUGCCCGUGCAAGGGGAGGUGUGGCUGGCAGAACAGAAGGAGCAAAGAGAAACCAGACUACUACAUAGGCACUUCUGAAAUCUCUUACCUUAACAUUAUGUUCUUGUUCCUGGCAUAACUUCUGUUGUGCUUUUUCAUUUUGCCAACUAUUUAAGCUUAACGUGUUUCUUUUGAAAUAAAAUCAAUAUUCUCGAAAGCUAUCUGGUAACUGUUAGGAUACACCUUUAUAGCUCUAUCUCUUCUUGUGCAAAACAGUAGAACACUUAGCAUCACUGUUUAAACCAAAAGACAGCAAUAGUAAAUCAGAUGCCUAUUCUUUUUUUUUUCUAUCUCCUGAGGAACAGAAACUGUGCUCAGAGUUCUGAAGUAUCCCUGGCACUUUCUUAUGAAAUCCAAGAAUAUAAUAACUACAAAAUGAAACAAACAAGGAGUUUCAGAUAAUGUACGAGUAGAACAUUAGAAAACACAAUCCUCUGCCAAACAGCACAGAGCAUAUGAGGUUGCACACCUGAAAACUAGCUGCCCUACCCUCACUGCAGUCUCACAGCUCUCCUUAUGCUUUGACAAAAAGCUGUUCCCUGCCACAUCUGAAGCCUGUCCAUGUCUCUGUACAGCACUGUCACCAUUUUCUGUCAUAUGUUCAUGCCAUUUUCUUUCUUUCUGUCAUAAUUUUCUGUGGUCAGUAUUUCAAACCAGCGUUCUCUGGUUAGAUUUUUGUUUGGGAGUGGUGUGAGGGACUCUGGAGCAUUUGAUCUCAGCUGUGAUUUUGAGCAGCACCUUAUUUUGUUCUGUCCUAAUGCUUCAACUUCACUCCAAAGCUGCUGGUGGCUGGAAGCAGCCUUCUGCUUUCCAAAGAUUGAGCUACAUGUAAAGGUUCAGGCCUGAGCAGUGGUCUGGGAGCAUGGGAGAGCAGAGAGAAGUAAAAGAUUUGGAAAUCUUCUGUACCUCCCAGAAGGAUCGUAGAAUCAUUAAGGUUGAAAUAAACUUCUAAGAUCAUCAAGUCCAACCACCAACUCAUCACCAUCAUGCUCAUGUCCCUAAGAAGCAGCAGAUAGCAAACCCUGCUGUCCUGUUUCCCCCCAAAAAGGACUGUUAUGCUUUGCUGUGUUGCAACCCUUAGGUUUCUGUGCCAUAUAGGGGAUGUGAAAGAGAGGGGAUGCUUCUCCUCUACAAAGUCCAGUUAUGUUUUUUGGUGAUUUGAGAGAGAGAACGAGAAAAAUGUUUUAGUUUAUGUUGGAAAGAGAAAAUGAGCCUUUCUCUGGGGUGCUGCAAAUCAAACAAUAGUACAGGAAAUAUUUAUGGUCCCCUUGUAGAUCUUGCCCAGUUACAGAGAAAAUACCAACUUUAAAUCAGCUGUCCCACGAAAUCAGCACUGGUUUUAAAUGUGUGCAAAUUGGAAGCUAUCUCUUCCAGAACUUCUUGUGCUAAUGCCAGCUGAAAAGAAAGAAAACAUCAAAAUGAUAGGUUUCAAAGUUGACAGUUGUGCUUAAGCACUAUGUCUGUAAAUCACUGAAUAGCUUUGCCUUUGAUAUAGUAGCUACUGUAUGUAAAAGUACAUACAGUGCCUUUGCAAUAAGACAAAGCAUCUGAAAUCCUGAAUUGCUUGCAAAACUUGAAGGGUUGCCAUUACUAAAAUACAACCUGAUGCAAUGUACUGCCAUGCAGCUUAACCUGAGAUGAUUCCAUGAAUGUCAAACAACUUAAUGCUAAAGAUAUUCAAAAUUCAUGCAAAACUUGAUGUCAGUGUGUGUGACCUCAACUCCAUCGUAGAAUAAUGUAUUAAACUAUUUUCCUAUAGUUCCAAAAAGCUUCAUCAUGAAGUGAGUUUUAAAAAGAAGCUACUCUAUAGCCUUCACUAAUAAUAAAAAUAAAGUUUUAAAAUUCUACCUUUUCACUGCACCUUAGCAUACCAAACCUCAUGUGUCUUGAACUGUCCUUUCAGUGUGACACUCCCUGCCUAUGUCUAUAGGCAUUUGGAGCAGAAAAAAUCUUUGCUAUGAAGGUGUGCUGAGACUACCUGUCACUGUGAUUCUUCACACCCAAUUGCAUACGUGGCAGACUCCAUGCUGUCUGUCUAUUGCUGAUGGCACAAAAAUUUGGAAGAAGACAGUAAAAUAAGCAUGGGUUCCUUUUCAUGGGCUUUAUGUGUUUUCUACUCAUAAAUGACAUCUGGAAAGCACACUACAGAAACUUUCUACCAAAGACACUGGCAAAAUUUGUGCAGAGAUGCUUUAUGCCCUGUAGGUAGGAAAUUUGAAGACUCAGAGGUUCAGUAGAGAAUUGUUUGGAAGACCGGUGUGAAACCUGACAACGUUGAGGACUUGCUCUUUAAUGCUUGCACAUAAAGAUAGUGCUUCCACCUUUGAGACCUGUUUAGCUGCCUAGGCUGCCAUUCAUUUGCAGCAAAUUUAGAGUUUACUGUGGGAUUUUGUAUUCGGACUAAGCCAACAAAUAAAAAUGACAGAGCAGAAAUGGUAGUUUGCUCUAUAGUGUCAGGUGAGCUCAGCCACAAAACAGCUUAGUUGUGUCGUGGGGGAAAGAUGCUGAUGAAAAUAUUGUGGUACGUGUGUAGAACAAUAAUAGUUCCUGAUGAUUGCGUGAGUAUUAGGAUUCUUUAUGGCUGUUAUGCAGUGAAUUCAUGUUUUCUUCAUGCAAGGCUGAAGGAAUAAACCAAAAGUCUAUUUAAAGAAAAAGACUGUUUUAAACUGCUUGUUUUUAUCUGCUGCCUGAAAUACUUGGACGUGCCAAAGUACAGACCGUAUUUACCAUAGCACACUUAGUUGGUCUGAGCUGCAGCAGUCGCAGAC